UACGUAGGGACCAAGCGUUGUUCGGAUUUACUGGGCGUAAAGGGCGCGUAGGCGGCGUGUUAAGUCAGCUGUGAAAUCUCCAAGCUUAACUUGGAACGGUCAGCUGAUACUGAUGUGCUAGAGUGCAGAAAGGGCAAUCGGAAUUCUUGGUGUAGCGGUGAAAUGCGCAGAUAUCAGGAGGAACACCGAUGGCGAAGGCAGUGGUCUGGGCCGAUACUGACGCUGAGGAGCGAAAGCGUGGGGAGCGAACAGG
rnacentral:rRNA from 1 species